rnacentral:rRNA from 1 species
GGUCGUCGUCAGCUCGUGUCGUGAGAUGUUGGGUUAAGUCCCGCAACGAGCGCAACCCUUAUUGUUAGUUGCCAGCAUUCAGUUGGGCACUCUAGCGAGACUGCCGGUGACAAACCGGAGGAAGGCGGGGACGACGUCAGAUCAUCAUGCCCCUUAUGACCUGGGCUACACACGUGCUACAAUGGCGUAUACAACGAGUUGCCAACCUGCGAAGGUGAGCUAAUCUCUUAAAGUACGUCUCAGUUCGGACUGCAGUCUGCAACUCGACUGCACGAAGUCGGAAUCGCUAGUAAUCGCGGAUCAGCACGCCGCGGUGAAUACGUUCCCGGGUCUUGUACACACCGCCCGUCACACCAUGGGAGUUUGUAAUGCCCAAAGCCGGUGGCCUAACCUUCGGGAGGGAGCCGUCUAAGGCAGGACAGAUGACUGGGGUGAAGUCGUAACAAGGUAACCA